rnacentral:lncRNA from 1 species
CAAAAGUGAAAGAAUCAGUUCAAGGAAGGUGGUGGAGCCUGGUGGGCAGGGACCAGGGAGGAAGUACAGGCAGGUCUUGUGACAGUGGGCUGAACGGGGGUGGCAGGACCUGGGGGUCCCCGUCUGAUCCCCUUCUCACCUUGCUGGGGGUGGGUGGCACCUGGGAGCGCCCACCUGGGAACUUCUUAAACCCUCAUUAUGGUGGCUGGUGUUGAACUCACAAGCUUCCCUCAAGAGCUACGAUGGAUCAAUGCCCAUGUUCACAUCUGGAGAAGUUCAACAGCCCAUCAGCAGCCACAGGGAAGGUGUUUUUGAAGGAAUCACUAGGGGCACGGAAUAAUGAAGUGAAAAUAAAGAAGCUGUUAAAUCACUCAACCAUGAAUCAAGAUGGUCCAUCAGAGAAUGAGCUCCAUCCUCUCUGUGGGCAGCCCGCAUUAAACCAAAGAAUUGUUUAGAUAUGAAGGGUUUUGUUUGGUCAGUUAUCAAGCCUAAGAGAGUUCCUAGUUACACUGAAUCAUGUAAAAUGAUGAAGAUUAUCAUCUGGUGCUGCUUGCAAUGGAAAGAAACCAUUCAUAAAUUCUUCCUGUUAGCCAACCAAGGAGAACAGUAACUGCCUUGGCUUCCUAGUAAUAAUUUUGCUUUAUGUCUUUUGUGUUAACGUUCUGGAAAAAUAGUCAGUCUUACCAGACUACAUAAACUAACCCCAAACAUCACUGACACAUUUGGGCUGAAUGAUAUUCAGAACCUACUCCAUCCUGAGAUGCCAUCCCCGUGCUCCGGACAGUGGGAACACUCGUAACAGCUACUUAACUCAGAAGUUGACAGGUCGCGACCGGGUCUCAGCCACUGAAAUGAUGUCACUGUACUUGGUGAGGCCUUGAGGAAUUCUGUGUCCCAUUUCUCUGGUUCUUUUGUGCCAGGGUCAUCUGGGGGUGCUGCACCCUGUAUUCCCU